CUGCAAAUGACAUGUGCUCUAUCUGGUAGAGCACAUGUCAUUUGCAGCCACGAGACAAAGAGAGAGCAAGAUACUGCAGAUGCAUGGUCUCCCAUGCACCCAUACCAAGUCAGAACCAAAGCUGGCUAGCUAUGAUUUGAGACAGUCAUUUGCAGCCACGGGACAAAGAGAGAGCAAGACGAGGUGUACCCUGCCGGCUGUCUCCUUAUAACUACUCAACGCUGCACAGCACAGGAUUCAGCAUUCAAUCACUCAUAAUUUUAUUGUCAUUUCAUCUUUUAUGGGGGACGCCCCACUCUUAAUUUUUAUCGGCUGCUGACGUACGUAUAUAUAAGAGCACUACAAGAUACGACAGGAAAGGGGUACUGAAUUUAUAUGGAUGUAUGGAUGGUGCAACAUAGAAUGCUGGAUUUGCUAUAGGCUCUGAGUAGGCGGGGGAUGGAGUGGAGUGGACCCACCUCUGUAUUAUGUAUGAAUAUUCUGUUGCUUGUACAUUUCGUAGCAUUAUCAGUAAUUGACUCUAGAGUAGCAUCUUGUGCUUCAUCACUCAAUCUGCAGCAGUGUAUGUGAUUUUCUGACAGGAAAGGCUACUCUAAACAGAGGGAGUCGGCCACACAAGGUAUAGUCUAAUAAUUAUUGUACAGUACUUAGAUGAUCUUCUCUGUUUUGGGUCAGAUGCAAUUGCCUUGAAUCACUAGCCAGUUCUACUCUGGGCUUAAGAAAUUGUAUUUUAUUAUUGUACCAGCAUUAGGUAGUUAACUCCACUUACCUCUACUACCGUGUAGCGGGAAAGUUUGUUAUUUGAGCCCUCGAGAAAUGUUGUAUAGUUGUUCACAUUUCAAUGCCAGGAAACCACAGCUUUGCAUGUGAAAUACUGGUGUGUGGGAGUGUCUUCCAUUUAAUUAUACUGUAUUACAUGAAGUGUGAAGUGUGUUGUAAGUUUGUACAGAGAGGACUCCCAUGGUGGCAAUGAUCUGAUGAUGGCUCCACUGCUCUGAUGGACCAAUGCAGGAGAAGUUAUUCUGUAUAAUUAUUACACUAAAAUAAUUAUGCCACUGUUUGGAUCGGUUUCUGUUCUGCUCAGCUUCUUCCUCCAACUUGCUUACGCAGGCUAAGCUUAUUCUUAAUUAGUUCAUUCUUAGUUCAUUCUAUAGUCUAGUAUAUUGUCGGUUUGGUUGUUUUAUGUUUUUCACCUGGUCAUACGGAAUCACUUCAUUAAUUUUUAUACAGUGCAGACCACACCUCUAUCCACACAUUGUACCUGCACAUCCUGUAUAUAUGGGGCCACACCCCCACUCACUGUACUGAUAUGUGGUCACACCCCCAUACAUGGUAACCCUCUUGACCACACCCCAACCCAUGCAUUGUGUCGUACAUGCUGUGUACAGUACACACAUCAUCCGUGUCUUUAUCCCCACACCUAGUCGGAGGGACAGCAAGUUCUACUAAGAGCCAGCAUCACCAACUAACCAACACACUACACAGACCUACCUACCACCAGCUAGGACAGCACACCACCCGGGACAGACUCUACUAUACCAUGUAAUACGCCUUUGUAUUACGAUCAUGAUACAAUUUGCUGCCCUCCCUCGCCCAUGGAUUGAAUAAUUAUGGACACUCGCAGGAGACUGACACACAAUAAUAGACACCAAAGGGCCAGUUACUGUAUCAUGUACGAAUAUUCUGUUGCUUGUACAUUUCGUAACAUUAUCAGUAAUUGACUGUAGAGUAGCUCCCCUUUCUUCAUCACUCAAUGCAGGCAGUGUAUGUGAUUUUCUGACAGGAAAGGCUACUCUAAACAGAGGGAGUCGGCCACACAAGGUAUAGUCUAAUAAUUAUUGUACGGUACUUAGAUGAUCUUCUCUGUUUUGGGUCAGAUGCAAUUGCCUUCAAUCACUAGCCAGUUUAAAACAUUUCUUCUACUCUUGGCUUAAGAAAUUGUAUUUUAUUAUUGUACCAGCAUUAGGUAGUUAACUCCACUUAUGCAUUGACCUCUACUACUGUGUAGCGGGAAAGUUCAUUAUUUGAGCCCUCGAGAAAUGUUGUAUAGUUGUUCUCAUUUCAAUGCCAGGAAACCAUAGCUUUGCAAUUACAUGAAGUGUGAAGUGUGUUGUAAGUUUGUACAGACCCAUGGUGGCAAUGAUCUGAUGAUGGCUCCACUGCUCUGAUGGACCAAUGCAGGAGAAGUUAUUCUGUAUAAUUAUUACACUAAAUUAAUGUAUGCCACUGUUUGGAUCGGUUUCUGUUCUGCUCAGCUUCUUCCUCCAACUUGCUUACGCAGGCUAAGCUUAUUCUUAAUUAGUUCAUUCUUAGUUCAUUCUAUAGUCUAGUAUUAUUGUCGGUUUGGUUGUUUUAUGUUUUUCACCUGGUCAUACGGAAUCACUUCAUUAUUAUCAGUGCAGACCACACCUCUAUCCACACAUUGUACCUGCACAUCCUGUAUAUAUGGGGCCACACCCCCACUCACUGUACUGAUAUGUGGUCACACCCCCAUACAUGGUAACCCUCUUGACCACACCUCCACCCAUGCAUUGUGUCGUACAUGUGUGUUGUGUACAGUACACACAUCAUCCGUGUCUUUAUCCCCACACCUAGUCGGAGGGAGCAGCAAGUUCUACUAAGAGCCAGCAUCACCAACUAACCAACACACUACAAGACCUACCUACUACCAGCUAGGACAGCACACCACCCGGGACAGACUCUACUAUACCAUGUAAUACGCCUUUGUAUUACGAUCAUGAUACAAUUUGCUGCCCUCCCUCGCCAAUGGAUUGAAUAAUUAUGGACACUCGCAGGACAACUAAGAGACUGACACACAAUAAUAGACACCAAAGGGCCAGUUACUGUAUCAUGUACGAAUAUUCUGUUGCUUGUACAUUUCGUAAUGUAAUUGACUGUAGAGUAGCAUUUUGAGCUCCCCUUUCUUCAUCACUCAAUCUGCAGGCAGUGUAUGUGAUUUUCUGACAGGAAAGGCUACUCUAAACAGAGGGAGUCGGCCACACAAGGUAUAGUCUAAUAAUUAUUGUACAGUACUAGAUGAUCUUCUCUGUUUUGGGUCAGAUGCAAUUGCCUUGAAUCACUAGCCAGUUUAAAACAUUUCUUCUACUCUUGGCUUAAGAAAUUGUAUUUUAUUAUUGUACCAGCAUUAGGUAGUUAACUCCACUUAUGCAUUGACCUCUGCGUGUAGCGGGAAAGUUCGUUAUUUGAGCCCUCGAGAAAUGUUGUAUAGUUGUUCACAUUUCAAUGCCAGGAAACCAUAGCUUUGCAUGGUGCGUGGGAGUGUCUUCCAUUUAUAUUACAUGAAGUGUGAAGUGUGUUGUAAGUUUAUACAGAGAGGACUCCCAUGGUGGGAAUGAUCUGAUGAUGGCCCCACUGCUCUGAUGGACCAAUGCAGGAGAAGUUAUUCUGUAUAAUUAUUACACUAAAUUAAUGUAUGCCACUGUUUGGAUCGGUUUCUGUUCUGCUCAGCUUCUUCCUCCAACUUGCUUACGCAGGCUAAGCUUAUUCUUAAUUAGUUCAUUCUUAGUUCAUUCUAUAGUCUAGUAUUAUUGUCGGUUUGGUUGUUUUAUGUUUUUCACCUGGUCAUACGGAAUCACUUCAUUAAUUUUUAUACAGUGCAGACCACACCUCUAUCCACACAUUGUACCUGCACAUCCUGUAUAUAUGGGGCCACACCCCCACUCACUGUACUGAUAUGUGGUCACACCCCCAUACAUGGUAACCCUCUUGACCACACCUCCACCCAUGCAUUGUGUCGUACAUGCUGUGUUUUUGUGUACAGUACACACAUCAUUCGUGUCUUUGUCCCCACACCUAGUCGGAGGGAGCAGCAAGUUCUACUAAGAGCCAGCAUCACCAACUAACCAACACACUACAAGACCUACCUACUACCAGCUAGGACAGCACACCACCCGGGACAGACUCUACUAUGCAUGAUACAAUUUACACAAUUUUUAUUUCAAUUUUUACAAUUUAUACAUGAUACAAUUUGCUGCCCUCCCUUGCCCAUGGAUUGAAUAAUUAUGGACACUCGCAGGACAACUAAGAGACUGACACACAAUAAUACUGUAUUUUUGCCAUUAUUAUGAUAAAAAUAAUGUAUUAAUUUUUUGCCAUUAAUUUUAUAUAAAAUUAA